rnacentral:lncRNA from 1 species
CCGGAGCUUCCGACCAAACCCACCGUCAAAUCUUCGACCACUACGCCUCACACUCGCUCAUCCCCGACCACUUUCUUCACGCGCCAACACACUCCAACGCCACCACCGCCGCGGCCGCCACCGUCGACUACACCAACCACCACCACCACUUCAACCCGCAACCCCACCACCACCACCUCAACCACCACCACCACCCGUUCUUCGACCCACGCGCCUUCCACGGCGCGUCUUCCACCUCCUACCCUCCAACCCCAUCCAUGCUCUCCCUUGACCCGCUGCCCCACGUCAACGCCGCCAACUGCGGCCCAGGGCCCGGACCCGGCCCAGGCGGACUCCUCCUUGUUCCGAAGUCUGAGGACGUCGGGCGGCCCAUGGAC